ACAGAGGUCCCAAGCGUUGUUCGGAUUCACUGGGCGUAAAGGGUGCGUAGGUGGCGGGGUAAGUCGGAUGUGAAAUCUCCGAGCUCAACUCGGAAAUGGCAUUGGAAACUGCUCUGCUCGAGGGUUGGAGGGGGGACUGGAAUACUUGGUGUAGCAGUGAAAUGCGUAGAUAUCAAGUGGAACACCAGUGGCGAAGGCGAGUCCCUGGACAACUCCUGACACUGAGGCACGAAAGCUAGGGGAGCAAACAGGAUUAGAUACCCUGGUAGUCCUAGCCGUAAACGGUGCAUGUUUGCUGUAAAAGGAAUCGACCCCUUUUGUGGCGUAGCCAACGCGUUAAACAUGCCGCCUGGGAAGUACGGUCGCAAGAUUA
rnacentral:rRNA from 1 species